rnacentral:rRNA from 1 species
UACGGGGGGGGCAAGCGUUGUUCGGAAUUACUGGGCGUAAAGGGCUCGUAGGCGGCCAACUAAGUCAGACGUGAAAUCCCCAGGCUUAACCUGGGAACUGCGUCUGAUACUGGAUGGCUUGAAUUCGGGAGAGGGAUGCAGAAUUCCAGGUGUAGCGGUGAAAUGCGUAGAUAUCUGGAGGAACACCGGUGGCGAAGGCGGUUCUCUGGGCAUGACCUGACGCUGAGGAGCGAAAGUGUGGGGAGCGAACAGG